UACGUAGGUGGCAAGCGUUGUCCGGAUUUACUGGGCGUAAAGAGCGCGCAGGCGGUCGUUCAAGUCGCGUGUGAAAGCCCCCCGGCUCAACUGGGGAGGGUCACGCGAUACUGAUCGACUCGAAGGCAGGAGAGGGAAGUGGAAUUCCCGGUGUAGUGGUGAAAUGCGUAGAUAUCGGGGAGGAACACCAGUGGCGAAGGCGACUUCCUGGCCUGUUCUUGACGCUGAGGCGCGAAGGCCAGGGGGAGCAAACGGG
rnacentral:rRNA from 1 species